UGCUGUAUUUCAUACAGUUCAAAAUAGUUGCAUGUGACAUAAAUGACAACUUCAGUUUUGAAUUCAGCUUCAAAAUUAAGUUGAAUCAUAUUACUUUCUCUUUUUGACGAUAACAUUCAGUGACUAGGAUUAAGUUUCUCACAAAGUGUUGUACUGCAGGAGAAAAAAAAAAUGCAGAAUACAACCAAGAAUUUUACCAUUUGACAACCAAUUAAACCCAAAAAUAUAUGAUGGAGUAGUUAUAAAUUUAAAACAUAAUAAAAUAAAAGACAUUAAAAAAUAUCAGACUUUUUGGGAGAAAGAGUAUAUUUUGUACAUUAAAUCUAAUACUCAGAAGUGUAAAGUGUAAUAUCUUUGUUUUGUAAAAAGGCAGAAUUAAAAAACCAAGAAGCUGUUAAGAGCAUCUGAUAUCCUUGUGUUCAAAGUGGAAUUACCAGACAAACAUCAGAAAUUCAAAUAGAAAUUUUAAAUUUUAGUUAACUCAGUACUUCUUACCUUGCAUAAUGGUGGGCCCAUGUAGAAACAACACUGAUUUUCUUUUCUUUCCAACCCUGAAUUUCCAAUUUUCAAAAAAUUGUAAACCUAAUGAAUACAUUGAAUAACAGACAGGGAUCAUCACUAAUAUUGCUGUGGUUAUUAUUUCCCUCAUCCCACUGUCCUUUUUACAAGAUGAAGAUACAUUGCCCUCUAAACCUAGUUGCCACAGCGUAGGCCUUGGUGAUACUCAACCACAAGAAGCUGGAACCAGCACAGAGAUGUCCUCAGCAGGUCCCUGCAAACCCAGAGCAGAGUAUCCCCUCAUUUCCACUAAACCACAGGUUGCUAAGAGAGAGCCGCCUGAAAAAAAUAGUCACAUCUGAAUGAGAGCAAAAACAAAGAAGCAUUUUCACAUAUUGUUUUUGUUGCUAAGAAAUUUGUACAUUAUCAUCUUAGUUUGGUGUUCAAGUCCAUAAACUGUUUUAGCUUUUUUUUUUUUGUUCAAUCAGAUCCGGCUAGUUGCCUUUCCUAUGUUGUUACAAGUAGAUCUAAAGUUUGAAGACAAGCAAAGGCACCUGCCUGAUAAUUAUAAGUUUAUC